rnacentral:misc_RNA from 1 species
CGCACCUUGCGCCCCUUGGCAUUCCGAGGGGCACGCCUGUUCGAGUGUCGUGAACUCCUCCACCCUCUACCUUUUUCGAAAGGCAUUGGGCUGGGAUUUGGGAGCUUGCGGGUCCCUGGCCGAUCCGCUCUCCUUGAAUGCAUUAGCGAAGCCCUUGCGGCCUUGGUGUGAUAAACAUCUACUCCUUGGCUUAGCGGACCUUUGGGGCAAUCGCUUCUAACCGUCCCUCGUGGACAAUCACUAUCAACUUGACCUCGAAUCAGGCGGGACUACCCGCUGAACUUAA